GUGGGGAAUAUUGGGCAAUGGGGGAAACCCUGACCCAGCGACGCCGCGUGAGGGAAGAAGGUUUUCGGAUUGUAAACCUCUGUCCUUGGUGACGAUAAUGACGGUAGCCAAGGAGGAAGCCACGGCUAACUACGUGCCAGCAGCCGCGGUAAUACGUAGGUGGCGAGCGUUGUCCGGAAUUACUGGGUGUAAAGGGAGCGUAGGCGGGAGAGCAAGUCGACUGUGAAAGCUAUGGGCUUAACCCAUAGAUGCGAUCGAAACUGUUCAUCUUGAGUGAAGUAGAGGCAGGCGGAAUUCCUAGUGUAGCGGUGAAAUGCGUAAAUAUUAGGAGGAACACCAGUGGCGAAGGCGGCCUGCUGGGCUUUAACUGACGCUGAGGCUCGAAAGCGUGGGUAGCAAACAGG
rnacentral:rRNA from 1 species